CUACGGGUGGCUGCAGUGAGGAAUAUUGCACAAUGGGGGGAACCCUGAUGCAGCAACGCCGCGUGGAGGAUGACGCAUUUCGGUGUGUAAACUCCUUUUAUAUGUCAAGAAAAUGACGGUAGCAUAUGAAUAAGCACCGGCUAACUCCGUGCCAGCAGCCGCGGUAAUACGGAGGGUGCAAGCGUUACGCGGAAUCACUGGGCGUAAAGGACGCGUAGGCGGGUUGGAAAGUCAGGUGUGAAAUCCUACAGCUUAACUGUAGAACUGCACUUGAAACUUCUAAUCUAGAGUAUGGGAGGGGGAGAUGGAAUUAGUGGUGUAGGGGUAAAAUCCGUAGAUAUCGCUAGGAAUACCUAAAGCGAAGGCGAUCUCCUGGAACAUUACUGACGCUAAGGCGUGAAAGCGUGGGGAGCAAACAGGAUUAGAUACCCCUGUAGUC
rnacentral:rRNA from 1 species